CAUUGAAAUGCUGGUUCUUGUCUGAUCACCAAAAUUAAGCAACAUCAGGUCUAAUCUGUACUUAGAUGGGUGACCACUUUGGAAUGCCAGGUGUUGUAAG